CCCAUGUGAACUUAGUAGUAACUUUGCAGUGUGUCAACACAAAGUAGUGUGUGUAGUCAAGUGUUUCAUUACAGUUUUUUCGAUGUGUGAGAUGGAAACGACUUUCAAAAUGCGGAUUAUAAAAACAGACAAAAAAGAAUAGACAGUUGGCUAGCUGUGACAUCUAAUGCUGUUGAUGAAGGUUGGGACAACAUGGACAAAGAAACAAAAGAAGUCUUAGGGAAGGAUGUCAAAAAAGUGGAAGAGCAUUAAGGAUUGCUACUACAAAAAUGUGAAAAUGCACGAAGGAAAAGUGGCGAUUCAUUAAAAUCCAGGAAACAUUACAUUUAUCACAAACAGUGGUCAUUUCUCCGAUCUUUAUGUGUAGAAUGAGAUUUUCUCUUUUAACCACGGGACAUCUGGGAAUAUGACUGUCGAUCUAACAGAAAGUACGCAAAACGCUGGAAACAACACUGCACAACAAGAAGCAAGCACAACACCGGAAAUACAACAUACUACAUCCAAGCCCCUUGCAUAGCGCAAAGGGAGAAAUAAAGUCCUUUUCCGAAGAAACGAAAACAGGAUGAGUUUGAAAAAAAGUUGUUGGGCGUUUUGGAAACGAGUUUGCAACAAUCACAUCCAAAGGAACCUAGAACUAAUGAUCCAUAUUAAAUGUUCUUACUUUCGCAAAUGCCCCUUAUUAAGAACUUUAGCCCAGCUUACAAGAUGGAUUUUCAAUUGAAAUAUUGGUUCAGUCCUACACACAUGCACAGCCGUCCAGAAUUACAUCUGAAAGUGACCAACAAUCAUCUCAGACCAUAAGCAGCUCACCUACA